GAUGAACGCUGGCGGCGUGCCUAAUACAUGCAAGUCGAGCGAACAGACGAGGAGCUUGCUCCUCUGACGUUAGCGGCGGACGGGUGAGUAACACGUGGAUAACCUACCUAUAAGACUGGGAUAGCUUCGGGAAACCGGAGCUAGUACCGGAUAAUAUAUUGAACCGCAUGGUUCAAUAGUGAAAGACGGUUUUGCUGUCACUUAUAGAUGGAUCCGCGCCGCAUUAGCUAGUUGGUAAGGUAACGGCUUACCAAGGCAACGAUGCGUAGCCGACCUGAGAGGGUGAUCGGCCACACUGGAACUGAGACACGGUCCAGACUCCUACGGAAGGCAGCAGUAGGGAAUCUUCCGCAAUGGGCGAAAGCCUGACGGAGCAACGCCGCGUGAGUGAUGAAGGUCUUCGGAUCGUAAAACUCUGUUAUUAGGGAGGAACAAAUGUGUAAGUAACUAUGCACGUCUUGACGGUACCUAAUCAGAAAGCCACGGCUAACUACGUG
rnacentral:rRNA from 1 species